UCUAUUAUGGUGGUCGUUUACAUAUUAAAGUUGUUUUAUUUAGAAAAUUAGUGUUAUAAGUAUAUUAUUGUAAGUUUUGAUGGCGUUUUAGUAUGUGAGUACUGAGUGUAUCAGUGUUCGAAUUCCUGUCUUUUUUACUCGUGGAAAUCAAUGGAUAUAUUUGAAGAAGUAAGGUAUGCGAGGCGCGUACUCUUUAAUUAGUACUACGCUACGCUACUCCGAGUCGAAGAAAAGGUGGUUUUUGUUUUGAAAUGGUGUGAUACGUUAACAAAUUGAGAUUACAGUUAUGUGCGCAUUGCUUUAAUUUUGUAUAAUAAUUAUAUGUGCCUAGAAUCAACGCAAGAAGAAGACAGACUGAUACUUUUGUCGUUCCACAGUCCUUAACCAAUCUAGGUAAACAUGCGCCCCUCAGUAGAAUGCUUAGGAAUUUUAACCAAUGUAGUUGUAGACAUAGUCUUGACGUGUAUUAUGACUCACUUCCUAGUUUUAAGAAGAAAAUUCAGUCAUCUCAGCCAUAAGUCAUGUAAUAUUUACAACGUUUCAAUUUAUCUAUGUUUAAAGAUACAAAUACUUAAGUAAACUCUGUCCGCUAUCAUUUAUUAGAGUCAAUGUUGUGUACACCUAUUAUUAGAUUGCAUGCUAGAAUAAAACCCAAUAUUGUUAAUUAGAAAAUAUAUACAUGUAAUCUGUUGGUGUUCCUUAAUAAAUAAAUAAAUAUGUGUAAACCAAAGUACUGACAAGACAUAUCGUGGUACAUAUUGAUAUUAAGUUCUAUCUAUGCUGUGCAGAGUUAACAUAUUUUCUAUAUUGAUAAUAGACCUAAUCACUAGCUAUAUUUAUUAGGAGGAUAUUGAACAUUCAUAAAGUGCUUUUUCUUAAUGAAACUCCUUUUUUCAAUGUACUUUAGAAUUAAAUUUAAUUGUUAACAUAUUUGGAAUAUGUUAAGUGCUUUAUAUUUUGUUUUGCUUGUUAUUUGAUGCAUUACUUUUUGUGGCUAUAGCAAUUCUAAUUGUGAGCGGCCACCUCAAGAUGAUGGUGGAGACCAUUCUCGAGUCCUCACAGUACUUUGUAUUGAGGCUAGCAGGAACCCCAGCUAUAGAGCGGGACACAGGCCUUGUACCAUCAGACUCUUCUCCGAUUGAUGCAAUGUGUGAAGUUACGAGUGGUAAGUGGAUGGAAAAAUAUUAAAUUAGUCACUUUAUAAUUAAAUCAGUUUUAUAACAUUAAACACAAUUACUUACAUUUCAUUUAUUAUUACAUUUUAUACAUAAACAUAAUAGGUGACUAAGCUCAACCUUACAUUUCUCAAAAACUCUGAUAUCUUUUUUAUUCUUCCUUUAUAUUAAAUAUAUUAUAAAUACAUAUAUACUGUGCUUUAUGUUUGAAUGUGUAUUCCGUUUUUUGCUUUUGUGUACAAUGUAAUUGUUUGGAUACUGUUGAGCAAAUAAAUAAAAAAAUAUUAA